CUCAGAAUUUCCCAUAGGAUGAAACAGCUAGAGGUGCUUUUGGAAGAAAGUUAAUGCCCUUGUUGGGCCGAAAAAUAAAUAAAAUGCAGGCCGGACACGGGAUUUUUUUAAAAACUAAGUAAUGGCAGGCAAAGCAAGACAAUCCCAGAGAGAUGAAGUGACUGACCCAAGGUUACACAGAGUGGAAUCUGUAUCUUCUGAUUUCUCUACUGGCCUGCACUCCAUGUUCUGAGGAGGAAUCCUUGAAGCUACUGAGAUAAUGGAACAAUGGAGUAGAUAGUCCAUUAUAACUCAUCUGGGAUUCUUCUCAUCUUCAAGUGACCACAGGUGGAAACAGUCUGGUAACACCACGCUUCCGAAGGUGAUUGUGGAGCUAGAUUGCUUAACCUUGGGUAAGUCAUUUAUCUUCCUGUGUCCCUCAGUUCUCCAUGGGCUGCAGAAGUGUUAAGAGUGCCUGCUUGUCUUCGAGAGGACCGGAGUUCAAUUCCCAGCAUCCAUACCUGGAAGCUACAGGGAAUUCAACACUCUCUUCCUGACUUCCUCAACCAGCCCCACACAUAUGGCUUAUAAACACACAGGGAAAAAAGUAAAGGAAAUCUUAAAAAC
rnacentral:lncRNA from 1 species